rnacentral:lncRNA from 1 species
UAAAUAAAUAAAAAUAAAAUAAAAAUAAAAAGACUAGUAGGAAAUACAUGAUUUGGAAAUAAAAAAUAUUCACUAGAUUGAUGAUGCUAAUUGGCUUUUUACAAACCUAGGAAGAAAAAUAUGUUGCAAACAUGGAGGAAAGAUGAUGGCCUCCUUCAACAGAACUAUGAGUUGUCCAAGAUUUCACAAAGUUCUUCAAGCAUGGCAUUUGAUGAUGAGCCCUAAGAUGACUUGAGCCUCACGUCAACUCUCUUUGCUACAUUUAGAAAGACUUGGAUUCAACAAGAGCCUCCAUUCUCCCCUUAUUGCAAUCACCAUGUGAAAAGAAGGUAAUUUGCAUUUGGUUCAUUAUCCUUAAAAGGAAGCAAUUUUCAAAGAGGUGGAAAGAUCGUUUUUUUGUUUUGUUUUGUUUUGUUUUGUUUCAACUCCUAAGGAAAUCCUUCACUCUGGUGGCACGGGUUUUCCACAUGCAAAAUGCAAGUGCAGUCAUAAACUGAAAUUUUUUCUGAAAUGGAUUUACUAGGGAAAGUUACAAACUUAACAAGAUGUCACAUCUCUGCCUCAGACCAAUCCACUCAACAGUACCUAGUUAAGGUGUCAGAGGCUCUUUACUUUAGCAAAAAGAAGCUAAAUUUUUUUUAUUUGCUUGCUAAUUAGGGGUUUCUGUGACUACCCAAAGAUGCACA